rnacentral:tRNA from 1 species
GCCCAGGUAGCUCAGUCAGGUAGAGCGUUCGGCUGUUAACCGAACGGUCGCCGGUUCAAGUCCGGCCCUGGGCG